rnacentral:rRNA from 1 species
AACGUAGGACACAAGCGUUAUCCGGAGUUACUGGGCGUAAAGGGCGUGUAGGCGGACGUGUAAGUCUAUUCUGAAAGCUCCUGGCUAAACUGGGAGAGGCGAAUGGAGACUGCAUAUCUAGAGUGAGGAAGAGGAAAGUGGAAUUCCAGGUGUAGCGGUGAAAUGCGUAGAUAUCUGGAGGAAUACCGGUGGCGAAGGCGGCAUCCUGGACCAUUACUGACGCUGAGGCGCGAAAGCUAGGGGAGCAAACGGG